GCAGUUGUGGCCGAGUGGUUAAGGGCAAUGGACUAGAAAUCCAUUGGGGUCUCCCCGCACUGGUUCGAAUCCUGUCGACUGCA
rnacentral:tRNA from 2 species